rnacentral:rRNA from 1 species
UACGUAGGGUGCGAGCGUUAAUCGGAAUUACUGGGCGUAAAGCGUGCGCAGGCGGUUUUGUAAGCCAGAUGUGAAAGCCCCGGGCUUAACCUGGGAAUGGCAUUUGGGACUGCAAGGCUGGAGUGUGGCAGAGGAGACUGGAAUUCCUGGUGUAGCGGUGAAAUGCGCAGAUAUCAGGAGGAACACCGAUGGCGAAGGCAGGUCUCUGGGCCACUACUGACGCUGAGAAGCGAAAGCAUGGGGAGCGAACAGG